rnacentral:rRNA from 1 species
GAACGCGAAGCCCGUAUCGGGGCUAAGUAGAGUGGCGUCCGAGUGAGUCACACGUGGGUAAUCUACCUCAGGGUGGGGAAUAACACCUCGAAAGAGGUGCUAAUACAGUAUAAUGCAGCGGCACGUAAUGGUGAUUAGUUGUUAAAGCGGGGGAUCGCAAGACUUCGAGUCUGGAGAGGAGCAUGCGGAUGAUUAGCUAGUUGGUGGGGUAACGGCCCACCAAGGCCACGAUCGUUAGCUGGUUUGAGAGGACGGCCAGCCACACUGGCAUUGAAAUACGGGCCAGACUCAUACGGGAGGCAGCAGUGGGGAAUUUUGGGCAAUGGGCGCAAGCCUGACCCAGCAACGCCGCGUGAGGGAGGAAAUCCUUCGGGAUGUAAACAUACGCAAGUCACGGGGAAGAGUGCUUUCGACCUAAUACGUCGAAAGAAGGACGGUACCCUGCGUAAGCCACUGGCUAACUACGUG